GCCCGGAUAGCUCAGUUGGGAGAGCAGGGGAUUGAAAAUCCCCGUGUCCUUGGUUCGAUCCCGAGUCCGGGCACCAUCCUUGGUUCGAUCCCGAGUCCGGGCACCA
rnacentral:tRNA from 1 species